GACAGAGGGUGCAAACGUUGCUCGGAAUCACUGGGCGUAAAGGGCGUGUAGGCGGGAAGGAAAGUCAGAUGUGAAAUCCUGGAGCUCAACUCCAGAACUGCCUUUGAUACUGAAGAUCUUGAGUUCGGGAGAGGUGAGUGGAACUGCGAGUGUAGAGGUGAAAUUCGUAGAUAUCAGGAGGAACACCAGUGGCGAAGGCGGCCUUCUGGACGGUAACUGACGCUGAGACGCGAAAGCGUGGGGAGCAAACAGG
rnacentral:rRNA from 1 species